UUAUUUAUUUAAUGGCUCAAUAAUACAAAAAAACAGAUAAUUUCUAAUAUAAGUUACAUAAUAUAAACUGCUUUUUACAAAAUGCCUGGAGGGGGUGACUCUAAGCCAAGCGUUGCCUAUCCCUAACCUUGCAUGUUAAUGCUCCUGCCUCUUUCUCCCUCUGCUUCUUUUGCAGGUACUUUGAGACAACUUUUUGCUGAAGUGCUGAGGUGGCAGGCAGGUAAGCAGACACGUCAGCAGCGGGGCAGAGGUGCUGUUAGUCUGAUGAGCAGUAAAGCUGUCAACACCAGAAUAGCUGGGAGGAGAUGUAUUUGCUCUUAUGUUUACCAAGCUAAAAUCCAGUCUGCCUAAUAUACACCAUGUUGUGCCAAAUGCUACAGAACCUUUAUAAGCCACAUUCUAAACUUUAAAGAGUGAAAUAUGAUGUGGGGUGAAGCUCAACUCUCACAAGUCGAGGCAGCCGUCGUACAUCUCCUGCUGCGUUUGGAGAGCAUCCUCGGCUGUCGAGGACUGGAUUUGUUGUUGCGAUAAACCAUGAUGAAGGUGUUUCUCUCGUACCAAAAAGUGUGAUUGGAGUCUUUCCCACUGACGUAAGCCUGAGAGGAGCGUUCUCAAAGAAAGCAGUGAUGUAAUGGAAUAUGAAGGUACUAGUCAGUCGUCUUUUUCCUUCCUCCUCCUCUAUGUCUCUGUUUCCCCCUCCCUCCUCUUCAUUUCUGUUCUUCUCUUUGUUUUUUGUUUUCUCUCGCUCUUUCUAUUUUUUGUCUUGGCAGCCUCUCCUGCUUUUACCCCUCCGGGAUCCCUGAAACCAAACCCAACAGCUCCCUCGCUUGGUGGAAACACGAAACUACGCCAAGUGUCAGCUGCUGCUUGUGUACUCUCUGUCUUCAUGUGCACAUACCUUCCAUCUGUCCACAACGAGGAGCCACCAGCUCUCUUUGCCUCUGGGAGACCCCACAUCGAGACACACUUUCUGUCCCAGCCUUCUCUGAAGAUGCAACUGAGAAGAAAACAUUAAAGUUCUUUAACAGCUCUGAUGUUUCAUGGCGGGGACAUAAAGACAGAGCUUUUUUUCCUCAAUGACUUUUGUGACUUUCUGUCUUAUAUAUACUGUAUAUAAAACUUUAAAACAUU